rnacentral:lncRNA from 1 species
AUUGAUAGUAUUCCAGUUUAGUUAUAUAUAUAUAUACAUAUACGGUAAUGGAGAGAUGUUGGUUUUGUCGUGAAUUGAUGAUCGAUUUUGGCGAAACAAAAUCACAGGUCUGAUGGUCUGCUAGUGCCGGAAGUGCUGGUGCAAUCCGUUUGUAAAUCCGACGAGCCGAUCGUACGAAAUUGCACGUUGUUCGAGGAAGGGUCGAUAUUGCAUAUUGGGUAAUUUUGGAAAAUGA